rnacentral:rRNA from 1 species
UACGUAGGGUGCGAGCGUUAAUCGGAAUUACUGGGCGUAAAGGGUGCGUAGGCGGUUUGGUAAGUCUGAUGUGAAAUCUAUGGGCUCAACUCAUAGUCUGCAUCGGAAACUGCCGGGCUUGAGUGUGGGAGAGGUGAGUGGAAUUCCUGGUGUAGCGGUGAAAUGCGUAGAUAUCAGGAGGAACACCUGUGGCGAAAGCGGCUCACUGGACCAUAACUGACGCUGAUGCGCGAAAGCUAGGGGAGCAAACAGG